UACUAAAAUUGGAACGAUACAGAGAAGAUUAGCAUUGCCUCUGUGAAAGUUUUGUGACAUUAAUAUGAAAAGAAUCAAAUCUGA
ensembl:snRNA U6 U6 spliceosomal RNA